rnacentral:SRP_RNA from 1 species
GUCAGGCGUGGUGGCUCACGCCUGUAAUCCCAGCACUUUGGGAGGCUGAGGCAGGUGGAUCACCUGAGGUCAGGAGUUGGAGACCAGCCUGACCAACAUGGUGAAACCCUGUCUCUA